AAGUGAUCCACCUGUCUUGGCCUCCCAAAGUGCUGGGAUUAUAGCCCUGAGCCACCACACCUAGCCGGAAGUAUAAUUUUGAGCUUUUCCCCCAUUUUAGUGGAAGAAGGUUUGUACAUGUCAAGAAAGUUCUCAACAGCAUUCUUUCCAUCCUUUCAGGAAUGUCCCCGGACAGAAAUCAAGAGAUAAGAGGUGCUAUAAUCUCUCACCU